AGGGCUCGUAGGCGGUUGAUCGCGUCGGAAGUGGAAACUUGAUGCUUAACGUUGAGCGUGCUUUCGAUACGGGUUGACUUGAGGAAGGUAGGGGAGAAUGGAAUUCCUGGUGGAGCGGUGGAAUGCGCAGAUAUCAGGAGGAACACCGGUGGCGAAGGCGGUUCUCUGGGAAUAUCCUGACGCUGAGGAGCGAAAGUGUGGGGAGCGAACAGGAUUAGAUACCCUGGUAGUCCACACCGUAAACGUUGGGCGCUAGGUGUGGGGUCCAUUCCACGGAUUCCGUGCCGCAGCUAACGCAUUAAGCGCCCCGCCUGGGGAGUACGGCCGCAAGGUUAAAACUCAAA
rnacentral:rRNA from 1 species